rnacentral:rRNA from 1 species
GGAGGGUGCAAGCGUUGUUCGGAAUUAUUGGGCGUAAAGAGCGUGUAGGCGGUCCGGUAAGUCAGAUGUGAAAGCCCUGGGCUCAACCCAGGAAGUGCAUUUGAAACUACCAGACUUGAGUACGGGAGAGGAGGGGGGAAUUCCCGGUGUAGAGGUGAAAUUCGUAGAUAUCGGGAGGAAUACCAGUGGCGAAGGCGCCCCUCUGGACCGAUACUGACGCUGAGACGCGAAAGCGUGGGGAGCAAACAGGAUUAGAUACCCUGGGUAGUCCACGCCGUAAACGAUGAGCACUAGGUGUAGCGGGUAUUGACCCCCCUGCUGUGCCGUAGCUAACGCAUUAAGCGCUCCGCCUGGGGGACUACGGUCGCAAGACUA